rnacentral:lncRNA from 1 species
AAAAAAAAAAAAGCAGAACUCUAAAGAAAAUUCAGUGGUCAGAAUGCUUCACUACUCAGUGCGUAGGUAUAAUGAAACACUUAGCUUCCUGAUGUUACCCUGGUGUUGACUUCUCAGUUUUAGUGUUUACGGGAGGACCUGGACUUGGUGUCUGAAGUUGCCUGCUCCACAGGAAACCACCUCCUUCUGCUGCUUGCUUUCUCUUGAGCCAACACCCAAAGCCACCAUCAGUGUCAUGGGGAUGAGACUUUUCAAGGUAAGUGAAAAGAAAACAGGAACAAAUGUAUUUUCACACAGAAUUUGCUGAAGGCCUUGGCUCAUAGUAGGAAGUACUGCCUCACAGGGAUCCCUGUUUGGGGUGUGGAGGGACAUACUGUCCUGGUUUAUGUGGAAUCAUAUAUGGUGUGAGUGAAAUGAGACAGAUCCCCAUUCCCAAGUGCCCUAUCUAAGAUGGAAGCGGGUUAUGUUGUCUAGACUAGAGGAAAUGCUUUUUUUUUUUCUUUCUUUUUUUUUUUUUUUUAGGGAAGGUUAUCAGAAUUUUAAAAGCCAAAUGAUGGCUGGAGAGAAUAACUAACAUUUUAUUGACUGCUUGGCUUUUAAAAGGUGUUUCUCCUCUUUCUUUUUGUUUAAUUUAAAAAGUCUUCUUUUAACCCCGAGAUGCAAUUAAAACUUAAUUUGUGCCUUAUUACAUAGCAGGUAUCCGUUGGCUUUUAUUUAUUAUUUUCUCCAUUAGGAGUUUUAAACUUGAGGUGGAAUUAAUGUCUCUUCUAUGAUCUUUUAUAGUCUUCUUUUUCACAUAUAUGAGUGUUUCAGAAUCCUCUAAAAUACCAUGAGUUUUAAUGUAAUAUGGAUUUUACUAUAUUGUAAAUAUUAGAUUAUUAAGAGUUCCUUAACCCCUUUUAAUGAGAAGGAAACACAGACUUGAAUAGAUAUUUGUGGUUCUUAUUCUUCAAGGAUUUGCCUCCCCUUUUGUGCUUUUUUCUAGGCUGUUCCCACUUUCUUCUUCUUCCUCCUUUGCAGAAGGUAAAACAUCAAUUUAAGAUGAUGAAACCAGACAUUUUGAGAAAAGUUUGGACAACAAUGACAAAGGCAAGCUCCUUUCACUUUGAUUUUUACCCAUUUAUACAGUUUAUACAUAUUUAUCGACUUAAGUUGCUUUAUCACAAUGAUACUUGAAAGCCAACAAUAGAAAUCAUCUUAGAAUUUUGAGUUGUGAUCUUUUCCCUGGCUAGUGAUAUGUGGUACCAUGCUCUCAUGAUGCUGAACAGAGGAAGUGAGCUGCACUCCCAGGCAGCUGUGCACGGAGAGGAUAAACAACUGUCAUCUGCAGUUGUUUGCUAAGCUAUGGUAUUUGGUAGGUUAGGGGUACCAAGUACAUUUUGAAUAUAUGAAUAAAUAUGUGGGUUCACCAAGAAAUAACCUCAUUGUAAGCCAAGGAGCAUCUGUAUUUAUAAGACCAUUUCCUUCCAACCUAAGAGAAUUCUAGCUCAUGUUGAUACAUAAGUUUUAGCAACUUAUCCUAUCCAAUGCUUUGUGUUGACAUAGCCACUCUGAUGUCUUCAGUUCUAUCCUUGGCAACUAUUAUUCCAGAGCCCAUUGGAUCUGAGAUUAUACCAGAAUUUCAUCUUUUCUCAGCCUGAGAUAUUUUUUUACUGUGAAAAUCUUACCCACUGGCAGAUCUAAUUUCUAGAUCUCUCUGGAUUUGACAGAUAAGAUAAACUAACAAGAAUAUUUUGCAUUUGUAUAGCUUUCAUAUACAAAUAUUUUAUUCUCAUAGGCCUAUUUCAAGUUAUGAGUAGAUUUUGAAAAGCAAACUCAACUGACUGACAAAUAGCUAUGAGGACUCUGGACCAGCCUAUUUGUGUUCUUGGACUGCCCAUGAUCAUUGAUUGCUUAUAGAAGUGUGAUUGCAGUAGUUUUGGGGGAGACAAAUCUGACAGUGUCUGUGAACAUUUACUGUGACAUUUUCUAAAGUUCCUUCCAAGGCUUGCAUCACCUGGAUCCUGGCCAGAGUGUCUGUCUGACAUCCUGGCUUGCUUCUCCCUCACUGUGCACCACCCAUGAUUGGCUGUCCCCAUGGGUUCUCAAUCACGUUUUCUCUGUUCUUGGAACUUUGACGCUGGCUACUCUUUCUACCUGGAUUGCUCUUAACACUCCUCGUGGCUUACUCCUGCAAGUUGUUCAGAUUACUGAUCAAAUGUCUUCUCAAAGAGGUCUUCCUUGAUCACCCCAUCCAAAGUAUAAAGUAAAUUCCCUGUGCCUUUCUAUUUCCUUAUUUAGCCUCAUAAAAAUAUAACAUUAUGUUACUUAUUAAACUACUGCCUUUCUCCACCAUUAGAAUGGAUAUUCUGUGAGAGUAAGAACUCCAUUUUUCCCCCCUGCUCUAUUCCUAGAUUUGAAUAGUACAUAGAGGGCUUUAAAUGAAAACCUACUGCAUGAAUGAAUUGUUUGUUGUAGCAAAUGAACAAAAAUAUAAGCAAAAAGAAUACCCAUUGGCAGGAGAAUGGUUGGAUGAAUUGUGCUCUAUUGAUAACAUGCAGUAUUACACAGUUACUGAGAAGAAUGCAUUAGAUAUGUAUUGGGAGAUUUACAAAAAUUAUUAUUAAGGAAGAAGUGCAGACAUAAUAGAGUGUAUAAAAUUAAACUAUGACUAAUUAUCUACCUUCUAGUUAUUUAUCUUUCUAUGUAUCUGUUUACACUUGACUACAUGAAAAUAGGUUCUGGUGGUUAUGCAUUCAGUUGUAGGCAUUGCUAUGUAGGGAAAAUUGUGCCAGGUGAUUGUUGAGCAGGAUUUGGGUAAGGGAAUCAGAGGGCUGAAGGUUGGCUGAAAGGGGAUAGCUAGAUAAACUUUCUUUACAACAACUUCAUUCAAAUCUUUCUUCACUCCUGAGAGUGACAAUCUCUGACUCCUGGUAAGUGACUUAUUUGGCCCCCACUAAUUUCUAUCCUUUGAAGUUCCAUGUUAAUGCUCUAGCAUGCUGAAGCACAGGUUCCAGACAGUAUACUUAAGCCUUGUCUUGACUACCACUUGGAAUCUUUGCAUUCUAAAAUUUAUUUUUCUUUUACUGAUUGAUGUACUUUACUUUUGUUUGUCAUGCAAUUGAGUCCCUGAUGUUCUUUGGGCUGUUGCCUUUCAUUUUUUAGGGGAUUCUGCAGAAGGACUACAAAACUGAUCCUAGAAAAUGUAGGCUUUUGUGGUUUACUAGGGCCCAUAAAAUCCCUAGAAGGGUGCCUGGGAAGACAACAACACUAAGUCUGUGGUAACAUGCUCCACAUGCAUAAAGGUAGGUCGACAGGGCCCUCUGAUAGGCAGUUUGGGAAGCAUUAUUGUUAGAAAGAGUAAACAUUCUGAAAAUAAAAUGGUAUUGUCUCAAAAGCAUAAGAAGGCAGAGGCAAAGUAAUAUGGUUUGAAUAAUUAAUAAUACAAUUAAUGCCCCCAAACCCACAUUUUAGGGUAAGAAUGAGUUAAUUCAUUUUAUCAUAGCUUUCAGUCACAAAAUUUCAUAUUCACUAGUAUUGGUUAGUUUUCCAUCACCUCUAAGGACAGGGUUGUGUACCUUUUCCACUGUCAUUGGAUGGUAAUUUUCAGGCAUCUGUCUACACUUUAAAUGAAAUAAUUUAGAAAUACUGGUUCUAAACUUAAGCUUCCUGAAAGCAAGAAAAAAAUCCCAUAGUGAUUUCAAUUUGAGAAAAUAUAGUGGUUUUGCAACAAUAUAAGUUUGCUAUUUCUAUCUUUAUAGUGUUUUUUUUCUUAUUACUAUUUUAAAGAGGAAUGGUACAACUUGAGAAGAAUAUUAAAAAGUAUCCUAGUGCAAUAAGAAACUGGACCAAUCCAUAAUGUCACAAGCCAUGUGGACAUUAUAAAAUUAGUUUGAAAAUAAUGUUUUCUAAGAGAAGAAAAAGAUGUCUAAACCUUAAAGUGGGGGAAAAACAUCCUAAGAAACUAUUUUUCUAGGAUUUAGACUUUGAAUGAUUUUUCACAUCAACAUAUUUAUAAAACAAAAUUCUUUCCUUUUCUCAUAAGUAUAUAUGUAAUUGAAGAAGAAAAUUAGGGGGCAGUGAUAGAUUAAUGCAGUGUAAGAAUUCUGAAUUUCUAACACACAUGCUUAAUAAACACCAAAUGACAAAAAAUCAUAAUGGUUCGUAAUUGUUUUCUUUCAUGAUGCACCUUGGACUUUGACAUUCACUUAUUUAGGGCAGAAGCCUUUUAAUUAUGUGAACUGGCAGAGCUCAAAAGAAACACAUAAAUAAAUAAAGAAUUGCAAAUACCCUUUACAAUAUUCUUUUUUAAAAGCAGGAUGGAAAGAAAUAAGCAGUAUAUAGAGGAUAUGUCAGCUUCAUGACUGACCUUUCACUGUCUGUUGCUUCACGUUAGAUCCUCUGCAUGAUGGCUGCUUGUGUGUGUGUGUGUGUGUUCAGCAGUAUCAUUUUCAAAAUUAGACUUCUUGAAUUAGGAAAACAUGUUAAAAUCUCACAUUUUAGAAUUGUGGGGAAAGUUUGCACCAGUCAAUGAGUUGAGAAGCUUACUUUCAUUAUUAAUAUGCAACAGUAAUUCCAGUUGUGUUCUGAUAAAAGUCAAUAUAGAUAUUAGUCAUCAGCUCCACAACUCUUGAUGAGACAGGUUUCUACAGAAAAAAAUAUGCCCAUAAGUAUAGAUAUUAGACAUGACCUGAGUAACUAAAGUCAAUAUAGAUAUUAGACAUCAACUUAGUAACUUUUGACAAGAUAGGCUUCUACACAGAAGACUCUCUGGUACUCUAGGGUUUUACUUAACUGUAAAAUCUAACAUCUUUACCCUUUUUAAAACAAACAUUUUUGAACUUAAAACAUAAUUAAAUAGUGUGCUCCAAUCUUAUUAGUAGAGAAAAUUAGUAGUAGAAAAUAUAUUGACUGAUUGAAAAGGCCUUUCAUCCUGGACACUGAGGGUCACCUCUGGCAAAUGUUAGUUACAGUAAUUGAAAUGAAGAUCUUAGCCAGCUGUUCCCUGUACCCUAUUAUAAAUAUGCCUUCCAAGCAGUAUGCUCAGAGGCUUACUGAUAGACAGCUAUGGAACGUAGUGCUCCUUCUAAAGGUCUUCACCUACCAACUUUAUAUUCAUAAUUGCUCCAUGAAAAUUUAUAAUUUUUUAUGCUUGUUAAAAUUACAUGAAUAUAAUUCAUUUUUAGUAAAGCUUCACCAGAUAAUACUAAAUAGAAUGGCUUUCUUUUUUAACUGUACAUAUGUACUGUUGUUAUCUGCUACUUUAUGAAUCUAAGAACACUCAGAGAGAAGAAUAGUUAUAAAAAUAAUUUUGCUUACAGACCUUGCAAAAUGUUUUCAGAUAUAAAAAUUAUCACAAAACUAAAAACAGUAUGUUACUAGAAGCAGAAUUAGCAAUAUGCAAGUAUUUUUACACAUGAAUAUGGAAAUUUUAAGCAUUUUAAAAUUCUUAACUUGAAAUCUAUUAUGUAUAGUAUAACUUUUAAUAUUUUAUGACACACAUGUAUUUUAAUAUUUUAUUUUAUGAUGCACAUGUAUUAUAUUGAUUUAAUGUUAAUUUCUAUACUAUCUCUUAAUCCUUUUCAUACUAUCUUUUAAUCCCAUUAUCCUUUGUAUUCUCCCUCCCUCUCUUUCUCUCUCUCUCUCUCCCCUUGGACACAUAUAUUUUUUUUUCUUUUCCAAAUGCAAAUAUGGGCUAUUUUUAUAAAAAUUUAAAAUUUGAUAUACAUAUAAAAUUUCAGAUUAUGACUCCCAUAAGCAUUAACAUUUUAUUUAAAAAAUACAAAGAAAGUAUUCUUAAGACAUUUAAUUUUUUUUUAAAUUUAUUAUAUAAGCUAAUCAAUGAUUACAUGACAUAUGGGUAUGAAGUAGUAAACAUGUUUAUUACAAACUAUGAUUUAGAUGAAAAAUUUGGUCAGUGAAUACUCAUUUUAAAAAAUUAAGAGAAAUUUAGUUUCUUUGUGACAAUAUGACAAAUUCUUCUAUUAGUGGCAUUUAUGUGAAUAAAGCCAUUCCAAAUUCUCUGGGUUCCUUAACCACUAAAAUGAACCUCACUGUAGUUACAUCUUGGACCUUGUCCAUGGAAGUUUAAAGCUCAAAGUAUCAGCACUUUAAAUUGGUUUCAUCUAUAAUGGUUUACUUUUAACGAGACAGGAUGUUCAAUAUGAGAUUAAUGUAGAAUGAGCCCUGGCUCCAGACCAAGUAAGUUUCUGAUAUUUUACUCUCUAGUGCUGUUUCCCACAGCUUUUAUGCACUGCCGAGAGACCGACAACUGCAAACUACUCCUCAAGUAAAUUUGUUAAAAAUUGGAAUGGAUUGUCUGGUUGUUCCUUUAUUUGGUAAAGUUUAUACUUUUUGAACAGAUUUGUUUAUUGUUGAAUAGACAUGUCUUCUAAGCUCUUAGGAAUUACAUAUUUUCUUGACCUGAUUCCUCCAGGUCCAGUAGAAGUUAGCCAAUAAACUGAGGCAGGCAAGUGUGUUCUGGCUCCCAGAGGGAGAAUAAUCUUCAUUUAGUGGAAAUGCAAAUAAUUGGGGGUGGUGCUAAAAACAUGGGUGGGGAUAAGACUGUCCAGGAAGGCGAUAAAGAAGAGCGUAGAAAAUAGAACCAUGCAAAUUCAAAAUUGAAACUGAGAAGGAGAACUCAGAAACUAAAAAGGAAUAGCUAGCAAAAAAGGGGAGGUAGUAUCCCAGAAGAAAAACACUGCGGGAGUGAGGGGUUGAAAAGAAUACAGCCAACUGCAGCAUCCAGUGGUGCAACAAGCUUAAGUAAUAGGAGAAUAAAAACGUGCUCAGAGAUGCUGGCCACUGAGAUUUCAUGGUGGGCUUAAAGAGAGCAUUCUUGGAAGGCUGACGUGGCUGAGAGAAUAGGAAGAAGAGUCAGUGAACAUAAACAACACUUAUGAAAGCAUCUGAUGAUGGGCUGGGAGGGGCGUAGUGAAGGGUCUGAACAAGAGAAUAGGUUGAGGGAACAGACCAUCUUUCCAUUUUUGGAAAUAAAAUUUUGUUUCUGAUAUAAAUACAGGGAUUUAAUCUGAAAUGCUUCUGUAGUACGUUAAGUUAGAAGGUUUCAAGGCUAUAGCUUUACAAUGACAAAAUAGAAAUAAAUAGACAAAAUCAAUGUAAUUAGCCACUUGAAAUAAUUUAUCUUAAGCUUACACACCAGCAUCUAAUGUUUUUUGAGUGCUAAUAGAUUUAAUUUGCUCUGGUUAAAAUUUUUCAAUAAAUACCCAUUAAAUAUCAUAAAUACUAAUUACAUUUUUUUCUGUGAAUAUUUUAUAUUCUGUACUCUGUUGAUGAUAUAUGCCAUGUGUAAUGUUUAGUUUAACAUUAAGUUAGAAUGAAUCUUCUUCAGAAUAUGCUAGCAUAUUUCUUAGAAAUACAAGAAACAUUUUCCCUAUGAUAGACAUUUUUGAAUGGAACUUUUAUAAAUACUAACACUAAAGGUGAAGACAACUUCUGUAAAUUAGAAUCAGUAUUAAUGUUAAAUGUUAUGGUUUAGAAAUAGAAACAAGUAUAAAAAGUCACAAAAGUUGUUGUUACAAACUAUCUUAAAAGGAUUUCUAUUUCUACUGCUAGAGCCUGCCAUGAAGGAAAUGGUGAUCAGAUACUUCAAAUUUGAUUUUAGAUUUAAACAACUUGAGAAAACUGCAGUUACUCAUGACUCCCUUUAUCCAAAAGUUCUACAUUCCCGUAUUUUUUAAGGGCGUAUCCUGGGUUCCCUUCUCUUUUCUGAUUAUCAUUCUUAAAGCUUGGUGUAUUGCCUGUAUUCACUCCUGAUGAGGAGUGAAUUUAUAUUUCUAGCAAACACCAGUAAUCUGAAUUAAUGGAUCUAAUGCCUCUUUCUCCUCCUUUUCCUCUACCUUCUGCUCCUACUUCACAACCACUUUAGUUUAAUCGAAAAAUAAUUGACAUUUAAUAUUGACAAUAUACGUUUUGGGUAUGAAAAGUAGUACAACCCCACUGGAAAACAGUUUGGCAACUUCCUAAAAAUUUAAACAUGUGCCUACCUUACAAUUCAGCCAUUUCAUUCCUAGGUAUUUUUUUCAAGAGAAAUUGAAAUGUAUGUCCAUACAAAGGCUUAUAUAUAAAUGGCUAUAGCAACUUUAAAACUUUAAAACUGUAAAAACACAAAUGCCCAAAAGUGAAUGAAUAAGGUUCAUUUUGAGUAAGGGAAUGUGACAUAUUCCUACAAUGGAAUACCACUGCUCAACAAUAAGGAAUGAAUUGAUGAUGCACAUGAAAUAUGGAUGAAUCUUAAAAGAUAUGUUGAGUGAAAAAAGCCAGGUAAAAGUAUCAAACUUUUUUCCAAUGACUAUUUAAAUUUACCUUGCUGAUUUGUAUUUUAUGACCUAUAGUCCAGAAUGUUUCUGAGUACUACGGGAACAUUUCAUUUAUUAUAUCAAAUGAUUUCAUUUAUAUGAAAGUUUAGAAUAUAUAAGCUGAUAUAUAACAACAUAAAGCAUAUUUUGGUUGCCUGGGGACUUUUGAGGGAAUGGGGAGAGUGGGAGAAAUUGCAGAAGGCUCCAGAAAUAUUUUGGGCAAUCAUUACAUCCCUUGUUCUGCUUGUGGUAAUAAUUUUAUGACUGAACACAUAAGUCAAAACCUACAAAUUGUACAAUUUAAAUAUGUGCAGCGUAUUAUAUGUCAAUUUCUCUUUUAUUAAGCCAAAAAGAAAAGGUAAGAUUAGAAGGAGGAGGAGGAGAAGGAGGAAAAAAGUAGAGCCAUAAAUUUAGAGUAGUGGUAUUUGCUAGAAAUAUAAAUUAAGCCAGGUGCAAUGGUGCACACCUGUAAUCCCAGCAACUGGAGAGGCUGAGGUGGGAAGACUGCAAGUUUGAGGUCAUCCUUGGCAACUCAACGAGGACCUAAGCAACUCAGCAGGACCCUAUCUCAAUUUUUAAAAAAGUAAAAAAGCUCUGGGGAUGGUGGUAAAGUAUUCCUGGGUUCAAUCCUCAGUGCUCCUCCCCCCAAAAAAAUUCAGUCCUCACCAAUGUGUAAAGCUUUUGUGAAUGAAUGAAACCACCUACAUAGAAAUUAGUCAGAAAAGAGAAGGGGAUCCAGGGUACAGUUUCAAGAAAGACCAAAAUGUAAACGUUUAGGGUGAAGCCCAGUGUAAUGGUGCAUGCCUGUAAUCCCAGUGACUCAGGAGUGUGAGACAAGAAGAUCACAAGUUCAAAGGCAGCCUAAGCAAUUUAGCAAGGCCCCAAGCAACUCAGUGAGACCCUGUCUCUGAAAUACAAAAUAGGGCUGAGGGUGUGGUUCAGUGGGCAAGUGUCCCUGAGUUCAAUCCCUGGUACAUAAAGAAAGAAAGGAAGGAAGGGAAAGAGGGAGCGAGGAAAGAAAGAUAGUUUAGGAUGAAAGGUGGAGGGAGGAGUCAUGACAAAUUGUUCAGUUUUCUUGAAUUCUUUAAAUCCAAAAUCAAAUUUGAAGCAUAUGAUCAUCAUUUCAUUCACUGCAGACUGUACCAGUAGGAACACACAUCCCUUUAAGAGAGUUUGUAACUUUUGUAACACGGAUGGCUUUUAUAGUCAUUCUUAUUACUAAACUGUAGUUUGUUGCUCCCCUUCCUUGUCAACACUUAAUAUGGCUAAUAUUAUAACUUUAAUUCUCAUAGAUGUGUGGUGUUAUUUAUGUGAUUUUCUUUUGCAUAUCUCUAAUAACCAAUGAUGGUAAACAUGUUUUCUGUGCUUAUUUGCUGUCUAUAUUCAUUUUGGGUAAAGUGUUUGUUCAAUUCUUCUGUCAUUUUUAAAUUGGGUGAAUUAUUGUCUUAAUUUUGAGUUUUAAGAAAAAUGGAACAUAAUUGUUUUCCCUGGAUAUAAAUUAUUUAGCAGAUAUAUACUUUGCAAAUACUUUCUUCCAUUCAGGGUUUUUUCUUCAUUGUCUUUCAAGAAACAGACAUCUUUAAUUUUGAUGACAUACAACUACAAUUUUUCUGGAUUUUUGCAUCAUGCUUUUGGUGUCAUAUCUGAAAAUUAUUUGCCUAAACAAGGUCACAUUGAUUUUUUUACUUGUACAAGUUUUAAAGUUUUACAUCCUAUGUUGAGGCUUAGGUUCAUUUUGAAUUUUGAAUUAAUUUUUUUUAUGGUUUGAGAUAUAUAUGAAUUUAUUUUCCUGAACAUACAUAUGCAAUGGUUCCAGAAUUAUUUUUUGAAAAGGAAUUUUUCUUAACUGAAUUUUCUCUUCACAUUUGUCAAAGUGAUAGUUAUCUAUAUAUGUAAAGUUUUACUUCCGCACUCUCCAUCCUGUUCCAUAGAUUUGUUUAUUUAUUUUCAUGCCAAAACCAUACUGUUCAUUUUAUCUAUCUUGACAUUAGGCAGUGUUAAUCUUCAAAUUUUUUUUAAAGUUGUUUUGGCUAAUAUAGGUCUUUCCAUUUCCAUAUGAAUUUUUAAAUUAGGUCAGUGAAGUUCUCUUUUUUAAUUAUCUUUUUUUUAGCAUUUCAUUUUGAUUAUUCCUAUUGCCAUAUUUUCAAGUCCAUGAAUCUUUUAUCCUGUGAUGACUAAUCUGCUGUUCAUCUAAUUUGAUGUAUAACAUUUUUAUCUUGGUCAUUAUGGUUUUCGUCUCUGAAAGUUUUAUUUUGUCAUUUUCAUAUCUCCCAUAUCUUUACUUCAGUUUCUUAAAAUGUGGGAAAAUAGUCUUGUGUGCUAACCCUAACAUCUGUGUCAUUUCUGGGUUGGGUUCAGUUGAUUAAUUUUAUUCUUGGUUUUUAAAAUUUCUUGUGAAUGAGUCAUAAUUUCCUACUUCUUUGUAUGACUGGUAGUUUUUUAUUAGAUGCCAGGCAUUGUGCAUUUUACCUUCUUGGAUGUUGUAUAUUUUUGUAUUCUCAUAAAUAUUUUUGAGCUUUGUUCUGGGGAAUAGUUAAAUUAUUUGGAAAUAAUUUGAUCCUUUCUUUUCUUACAUUCUAGAUUUGUUAAGUGGGACCAGAGCUGUGUUUAGUCUACUGCAUCCCAUUGUUGGGAAAAGAUCCUCCAAAGUGCUUACCCACUGCCUUGGAAACAUGAGGUUUUCCUGUCUAGUUGGUAUGAGAAGAACUUUUCCCAGCCCUAUGUAAACUCCAAGAACCAUUGUCUCUAAUCCUUUUAGUUUUUUUUUCCUAGUCCUGAGGGGGGAAUGAUCACAUGUUACAUGCAUAUGACGAUCAGUGUUCCCCUGAAUGAUCUAGAAGAGUUCUCUUCAGAUUUCCACACUUGUAUCUCAGUGCAGCUCUCCCCUGUCCACCGUGUAGAAGCUCCUUCCGCCCUGUGCCAUCCUGUAGAAACUCUCUCAGGGAUAUAAGUGAAUCUUAUAGCUUUUUGACAUCUCCUUUUGGAUGACCCAUAGCCAUCCCAAACUUAAUAUACCUAAAGUGGAAUUUCUCUCUGAAAACUUUUCUCCUUUUAUUAACCUCUCAAUAUGUAGUAUAACAACCAGACGGUUGCUUAAACUUGAGCCUAGAAGUCAUUCUCCAUUAUGACCCACAUCCUGCCCUUCAAUAAAUCAUGGAUUAGGCCUUUAAGUUAUAUCUUCAAUUCAUUUACUUCUCUUCAUUUCCACUUCUGUCAUCCUAGUCGAGGGCACAGUUGUCUCCCCUGAUAUUAUUGCAGUGAUCUUCUGCUUGUUUUCUAUGUUUCCUCCUCUGUUCUGCCAUAGUCAUUCAUCAUAUAGAUGCAUUUAUGCUUCUUUAAAAUCCUUCAAAAUAUUUCUGGUUAAAUAAAAAUCCAAACUCCUCACGACAUCUCACAAAAUACAAAGGAUUUGAUCAGCCUUUUCCUGAGCAGUUAUCCUGGCCAUGGUUGGCAUAUUACCCUCUUUACUUUCUAGCAAACAUGGAGCUCUUUCCAAUAUGAGGGACUUGCCACCAUGUGGACUGUCUAUCUGCUAGUUUUGUGGUAUAGCUGAUACUCAUGUAUCCUUUAAAUCUUGACUUAAAUAACUCCUCUGUAGGCAAGCUUUCAAUAAUUUUUUUCCAAUUAACUAUGUCUUCAUGCUAUUUACCAUCAUAGUACCUGGCUAUUAUCUUUAUGGAAUUUGAUCAUUUUAUAAUUAUACUUUGUAAUUAUAUAGCUCUUUUUCUGUCUGUCUCUCCACUAGAUUUUAAAAUUUGGAGGAUCUAAACCAUUUCUUUUUUUCUCACCAUUAUAUACUUAUUAAUUAAUGGUGAUGAUCAUGUGUAGCAGGAAUUCAAUACCUUGUUCAUUGAAUGAAUGUAAUUAUUGAAUUAAAAUUACAUUUGGUGUGAUUUCCGAGUGCUAGAAAGACUAUCAUUGUUAAUUUUCUAUUGGUAACCAAAAUCAAUUAGAGCUGUAAUAAUGAAAACAUCGUGGUAUUGACAUAAAAAAAAGACACAGAGACUAAUGGAACAGAAUGGAGUACUGGGAAAUAACCUCAUAAAUUUUCUGCCAACUGAGUCUUCACCAAGGUACCAAAAACAUACAUUGGAGAAAGGACAGCCUCUUCAAAAGUUGGUAUUGGUGUUGGAAAAACUGAAUAUUCACAUGCAGAAUAUUGAAACUUGACCCCUAUCUCUCACUCUAUACAAAAAUCAACUAAAAAUGGAUCAAGUUCUAAAUAUAAGACCUGAAACUAUGAAGCUACCAAAAAUAAAUAAACAAAUAAAUGAAAACCAAAAAAAAAAAAACAUAGUGGAAACACUUCAAGAUAUCAGUCCAGGCAAUGAGCAUUUGAAUAAGAUCCCCAAAGCACAGGAAACAAAAGCAAAACUACACAAACGGGGUCAUGUCAAACUAAGAAGUUUCUAUGCAUCAAAGAAAACAAUCAAUACAAUGAAAAGACAGCCUACAGAAUGAGAAGAAUAUAUAUAUGUCAGAUAUUCAUCUGACAAAGAUUAGUAUCCAGAAUAUAGAAGGAAUUUAAAAAAUGACAACAGUAGUAAACCCCAAAUAAUCCAAUUAAAAAGUGGGUAAAGUAUGAGAAUGGACAGUUUUCCAAAGAAAGAAUUUAAAUGGCCAGCUAAUUUAUGCAAAAAUGCUCAGUUUCAUUAGUCAUCUGGGGACUGAAAAUCAAAAUCUCAGUGAGAUCAUCUCACCCCAGAUAAAACAUCUGUUUAACAAAUGCAGGAGAUGAUGUGGAGUAAAAGGAACUCAUAUAUUCAAUUGAUGAGAAUGUAAACUGGUACAGCCACUAUGGAGAAUAGUGUGAAUGUUCCUCAAUAAACUAAAAAUCUACUAUAUGAUCUGGCUAUCCUACUUCUGAGUAUAUAUCCAAGGGAAAAGCUAUCAGAAUACCAGAGACACCUGCAUGCCAUGUUUAUUGCUGCACUAUUCACAUAGUUGAGAAAUGGAAUUAACCCAAAUGCCCAUCAGCAGAUGAAUGGAUAAAGAAAUGGUGGUGUGUGUGUGUCCACAAAUGCAUACUAUAUACACAGUGAAAUACUACUUGGUCAUUAAAAGAAUGAUAUCCCAUCAUCAUGUUUAGCAAAAUGGACCAAACUGGAGAACAUUAUGUUAUAUGAAAUGACCUAGACACAGAAAAAGAAAUGCUGCAUGGUCUUUCUUAUAUGUGGAUAUUAAAAGAAAUCAAUCAGAAUAUAUAAUAGUGAUUAUUAGAGGCUGGGAAAUUGGGGAGGGAAGGGUAGAGGGAAGUUGGAUGAUUAGUAUACAAUUACAGUAAGGUAGAUGUAAUGAGCUCUAAUGUUCAUAGCACAUGGGGUGACUGUAGUUCACAGUAUCCUAUUAAAUAUUUUAUGAAUAGCCAAGUGUGUGGCACAUGCUUUUAAUCCCAGUUUAGGAGGCUGAGGCAGGAGGAUCUCAAGUGCAAAGCCAGCCUCAGCAACUUAGUGAAACCCGAGGCAAUUCAGUGAGACCCAGUCUCUAAAUAAAAUACAAAAUAAAAAAGGGCUGGGAAUGUGGCUCAGUGAUUAAGUGCCUUUGGGUUUAAUCCCCAGUGUGGGCAGGGGGGUGGGGAAUGAAUAACUCAAACUGAGAAGCUAGAAAGCUAAAAACAAAGUAAAGAUAAGGAGAUAGAAAUGUUAUUUACCUAAUUUGAUCAUCACAUUUUGUAUACAUGUACUGAAAUAUACUCUAACCCAUAAAUGUGUAUAAUUGUUAUGUUAAUCAAAAAAUUUUUAAAGAAUUAAGGAGAUGGAAAUGCUAACAAGCCUAGUUUGAUCAUUGCACACUGUAUAUACGUAAUGAAUUAUUACAUUGUAUCUCAUAAUUUGCAAAUAAAUAAUAAUAAACAUUUUAAAAGCGAAAAUGCUACCUUCAUAUAUGAAAAUGUCAAGAUUCUGUGAUUUGCCAGAUAUUUAGUAGCUAAUGUUUGCCGGCUGAUGACCAGUCCAGCUCUCAUAUAAUAUUAGAACAGAUAAAAGCAGCUGUUAAACUCAUCCUAAGUUGAAAAUAUUAAGUUGAAAGUGCAUCUAUUACAUUUGACCUGCCAAACGGUCUGGCUUAGCAGCACAGUUCACCAUAGAGCACUGGUUGUUGCCCUUGUGAUCAGGGGCAUGACUGGGAGUUGUAACUUACUACUGCUCUUGCCCAACAUUGCAAGAGAAUAUCAUGCCCCAUAUCACUAGCCCAGGAAAAGAUUCAAAUUCAAAAUCUGAAGCAUUGUUUCUAAUGAAUGUGUAUCAGCUUAGCACCAUUUUAAAGCUGAAAGUCCUAAAUCAGGUUAUUGUAGGCUGGGGGCCAUUUAUAGACUGCAGAGGCGAGAUUUGGAACAGUGAGACUACUGAAGAGGCUAUUUUAGUAAUCCAUGGGAUUAAGGUGGCUUGGACCAGGGACAUGACCCUGAAGGUACUAAAAACAAGUGAAAUUCUGGUUAUAUUUUGAAGAUGGAGCUGACAGUCCUUAUACCAGGUUGGAUAUAGGCAUGAGAGAAAGAGAAAGAGUUUCUUAUGCAUAUGUCUGAGAUGUUGUGCUUGGAUCAACCAGAAAGAUGGGUUUGUUGCUAACAGAGAAGGGGAAGCUGCUAGAAGAGCAGGUUUUGAAAGAGUAAUCCAGAGUUUAGACAAGUAAAUGUGAAGAUAACUUAUAACCAUCUCUAUGGAGAUAUCAAGAAAUCAGCUCUAUGUUUUCUCUGAUAUAAGGAGGUUGAAUCAUAGUGGGGUAGGGAGUGGGAGCAU